GGUGCCAUCGACGAACUGGCUAAGUCACCAGCCUCUCAAGCUGGAGGUUGUGGGUUCGAUCCCCACUGGCAUCACCA
rnacentral:tRNA from 1 species